AACAGCUCCUAGUUCUCACUCUGGCCCCCUAGUGUCUCUCUCUGCCUCAGCUGAGUGUGAUCUUUGGGUGAGCCACAGUUUGCUUUCUGGCCCCUCCUACUGCUUCAACACAAUUCGUGAGGAAAAGCACCUGGAGACCCAGAAUUCAAUCACUGAGGAUUUGCAACAAGAAUUGCACAGGGUCAGCUUCCCCUCAAUCAAGUCCAAAAGAACAAGAGAAAUUAACUUAAUUUAAAUCUCCAGCUGGAACACACAGACUCUCUGCUGGACUGUGGAAUGGCUCAGUUAGCUAACUAAUUAACAACCCAAUCAGUAUUAAAUGUAUAACUGGAAAACCCUGCUCCAAGAAAGAUACAAACCUGAGAACAGCAAGCUAGAGAUGACUCUUUCUUUACUACCACUUUGAGACAACAGAAGAGCUGGUGAACCAGACAGAUUCAGAGAAUUUGGCUAAAGUCAAACAACAUUCAAGUCGCAGUGACUCAAUCCCAUCAACAUGGAAAUUAACAGCUCUGCUUCAGUCUACUCCAGGCUUAAGCCAAAGUUUUGAUCCACAUGGGAGAGAGACGAAACAUGCUCUGGACUUUGGAAGCAGAUUCUGGCCUGAGAAUUUGUUCAGCAGUGUUACUGGAAACAUGUGUAACCAUUUCUGACUUCAAUGCCUUACACUUGUACUCACUUAAAAGAUGCCCUAGCUGCCAUUCCCCAGCUUCCAGUGAUGCAGGACCUGGACCAAACACCAACUCACAAAGAUGCAGAGGAGGCUUUCAAAGAGACUGUGCCUGGGAAAGCAGCAGGCAACCACCAGAUGCCUCCAGAGCUCCUAAGGGCAGGGGGAGGAAG